GGGGCCGUAGUGUAACUUGGUUAUCACAUUAGCUCGGGGGGCUAGUAAUCGGAGUUCAAAUCUCCGCGGUCCCA
rnacentral:tRNA from 1 species